ensembl:lncRNA
CAGUUUUAAGGAAUAUUUAGGGCUUCGCUAAAUACUACACAAUAAACUGUGGAAAAUUCUAAAGGAGAUGGGAAUACAGACCACCUGACCUGCCUCUUGAGAAACCUAUAUGCAGGUCAGGAAGCAACAGUUAGAACUGGACAUGGAACAACAGACUGGAUCCAAAUAGCAAAAGGAAUCAGAGAGGAGUGUUCUACAGUGAGAGAACCCAAGGGAGAGAGGAGGAGGUCAAAUCUCUUGGGGAAAGCAAUGCUCAAUAUAAGAAUAACACAAGCAUCAAAUCCAAAAAGUAACAUUCAGAUCGAGUCAAUAACUGAUGAAAUAAUGAAAAGUGCCACAGUGGUAAAGAAUCCACCUGCCAAUGCAGGAGAUGCAGGAGACACAGGAGACAGGGUUUGGAUCCCUGGCUUGGGAAGAUACUCUGCAGUAGGAAAUGGCAGCCCACUCCAGUAUUCUUGCCUGGAAAAUCCCAUGGACAGAGGAUCCUGAAGGACUACGGUCCAUGGGGUCACAAAGAAUUGAACAUGAGAUUGACUGAGCAUGCUCACAAUAUUCCAUUGUGUGUGUGUGUGUACAUAUAGCACAUUAUCUUGAUCCAUGCAUCUGUCAAUAAACAUUUAGGUUGCUUCUAUGUCUUGGCUAUGAGUCAUUUAUUUCUGAAAUAGCAAAUGUAGAAGCAGAAUAUUACAUGCUCCGUGCUCCACAUCACACUUGCAAAGUUUUAUUAACUUGUAUACAUUUUAUGACAUCCCUGAUUUUCUU